rnacentral:rRNA from 1 species
AUGGCGGACCGGCUGAGUGCUAGCAGCCGACCUUCUUCCAGUAGGUCCACGCCGUCUUCUCUUGCUUCUUUGGCCUCCUCCUCCGUGUACAUGGUGAUCCGAGGCGAGUCGAACUCGAUGUCUGUUGGGAUGACAGCCUCGGCACCGUACACGAGGAAAAAUGGGGUGAAGCCGGUUGACUUGUUGGGUGUAGUGCGCAGACUCCAGAGGACAGCCGGCAGCUCAUCGAGCCAGCAGCCGGCCGAUCGCUCCAGUGGUACAACCAGUCGGGGCUUGAUGCCGGAGAGGAUGAGUCCAUUUGCUCGCUUGACCUGGCCGUUUGACUGCGGGUGGGCAACGGACGCUAAGUCCAGUCGGAUGCCCUGCGUCGCGCAGAAACGUGCCAGUGCUCCUUUGGCGAAGUUCGUGCCGUUGUCGGUGAUGAUGCUGUGCGGCACGCCGUACCGAGUAGUGAUGAAUGUCACGGCAGUCGGCCCGUUCAGCUUCUUGAUUGGUUUUGCUUCGAUCCACUUUGUGAACUUGUCCACAACAACAAGUAGAUGUGUCAAGCCGCCGCGGGCUGUCUUGAAAGGGCCCACCAUGUCCAGUCCCCAGACGGCAAAAGGCCAGGUGAGGGGAAUGGUCUUGAGUGCAGAAGCCGGCAGGUGUUGCUUGGAACUAAAAACUUGGCAUCCUCUGCAGCUCUUGACUAUUUCUUUAGCAUCCUCCAAGGCAGUCGGCCAAAAGAAACCAUGGCGGAAAGCCUUGGCCACAAGUGAUCUUGAAGCUGCAUGGUGGCCGCACUCGCCCUGGUGGAUAUCCUUGAGGAUUGCCACUCCUUUUUCUGGCUCAACGCAACGCUGGAAGACUCCAGUGACGCUGCGCUUCACCAGCUCUAUGUUGAUUAUUGUAUAUGCUGCGGCUCGUCGUUGCACUAGUCUUGCUGAGAUCUCAUCAGCCGACAGCUCUCUGCUGACUAGGAACUUGAGGAUGGGCUGGGCCCAUGAGGGAGCUGUGACUUCUGCUUCUGUUAAUGUAGCCACCAUGACUCGGGUGGGUGGGUUGGGUGAGUCGGCCACCGCUUCUUGUGUCGUUGCAGUCCCCGGGCCGACUGCUGCAGUCCCCGGGCCGGGUUCUGAAGUCCCCGGGCCGGGUGCGACUACGGCAGUCCCCGGGCCAGUUGUCGAAGUCCCCGUGCCGCCUGCGGGGUUUCUCCAGUCGGAUCCGGCUAUAUCUGGUGCAGGCGGUACGAAGAUGGAAUCCGACUCUGGAGACGGCUUGAUGGACGGCUUGAGGAGGCGCUGGAGGGAGACGCCAGUCGGUAUGGCUUGUCGGGUGGAGCCGAUCCGUGCUAGGGCAUCUGCUUGGUCGUUGUCGGCCCUUGGCACGUGA